rnacentral:tRNA from 1 species
GGCGAGAUGGCCGAGCGGUCUAAGGCGCUAGAAUCAGGACAUCACUGUCUUAUCUAGUCCUCCGGGGCGUGGGUUCGAAUCCCACUCUCGUCA